rnacentral:lncRNA from 10 species
CUGCGCUUCCGUUCGCUUGACUGGCUGCGCUUGUUUUCAGGGUUUUGGUCUGAAAACGGAUCUUACCUGCGCAGAGCAAAAUCGGUUGUAGAUUAUAUCCACGAAAAUUCCUUCUAUUAAAAUGAAUUUCAAGUCCCACCUACCCUGGAAGCAGAAAGAGAGAGAAGAGAGAGAGUAAAGAGAAAGAGAAAAGAAAGAGAAGUUGAAAAAGAGAAAGAAAACCAAGAAAGAAAGAGAAAAAAACCGAAAAUAAAUGGACAAGAAAGAAAAAGAUGUAGUCUGGUUUUGUUGCCCAGGCUGGUCUCCAGCUUCUAGCCUCAAGCAGUCUUCCCAUCUGCUCCUACCAAAGUGCUCGGAUUAUAGGCAUGAAUCACCUUGCAUGGGAGAUAAGGACCCCCACAUCAAGCCCUCAGGUCACUGGGAUCCUGGACUACGGCACUGCUCCAGGCAGGCCUGGUUAUCCUGCUUGAGGCAGCAAUCCUCUUGAGCCUAGUGAAAUGCAACUGGCUGUACCUCAAUGAUGUUGCCCUGAGAUUCUGCCAGUCGAGGCCAACGUGCCAUGCAUCCCUGGAGCAUGAAACCCAGGAUGGGCCGCCUUCCAGCCUCCCACAGCUGUGAUGCAAGUUGAACACAUACAGAGAGACUGCAUCUGCACUGGGUGGUUUUCCUGAGCCUUGGGGAGCAGAAUGCAUGAAUCCCAGAUGGAGGAAGUGGACCAUGAGUCAAAGGAUGUAAGUGGCCUCUGGAACCUACAAAGGGCUCAUAAACAGAAGAGACUUGCUUGUCUCAGAUGAAACUUUGGACUGUGGACUUUUGAGUUAAUGCUGAAAUAAGACUUUGGGGGACUGUUGGGGAGGCAUGAUUGGUUUUGAAAUGUGAGGACAUGAGAUUUGGGAGGGACCAGGGGCAAAAUGAUAUGGUUUGGCUGUGUCCCCACCAAAUCUCAUCUUGAAUUGCAGCUCCCAUGAUCCCCACAUGUGGGAGGGACCCGGGGGGAGGUAACUGAAUCAUGGGGGUGGGAUUUUCCCAUGCUGUUCUCAUGA